ACGAACGCUGGCGGCAGGCCUAAAACAUGCAAGUCGAACGCCCUAGCAAUAGGGAGUGGCGCACGGGUGAGUAACACGUGGGAAUGUGCCUUUUGGUACGGAACAACUUUUGGAAACGAAAGCUAAUACCGUAUGGUCCCUUCGGGGUAAAGAUUUAUCGCCAAAAGAGCAGCCCGCGCUGGAUUAGCUAGUUGGUAGGGUAAUGGCCUACCAAGGCGACGAUCCAUAGCUGGUCUGAGAGGACGAUCAGCCACACUGGGACUGAGACACGGCCCAGACUCCUACGGGAGGCAGCAGUUAGGAAUAUUGGACAAUGGGCGCAAGCCUGAUCCAGCCAUGCCGCGUGAGUGAUGAAGGCCUUCGGGUUGUAAAGCUCUUUAGUCCACGAAUAUAAUGACUGUAGUGGAAGAAUAAGCCCCGGCUAACUUCGU
rnacentral:rRNA from 1 species